CCUACGGGAGGCAGCAGUGGGGAAUAUUGCGCAAUGGGCGAAAGCCUGACGCAGCGACGCCGCGUGAGGGAUGAAGGUCUUCGGAUCGUAAACCUCUGUCAGCAGGGAAGAACGGUCACUGUGCUAAUCAGCAGUGAAUUGACGGUACCUGCAAAGGAAGCGCCGGCUAACUCCGUGCCAGCAGCCGCGGUCAUACGGAGGGUGCGAGCGUUAAUCGGAAUUACUGGGCGUAAAGCGCUCGUAGGCGGUAUGUCAAGUCAAGGGUGAAAUCCCCGCGCUCAACGUGGGAACUGCCUUUGAAACUGGCAAACUUGAGUGUGUGAGAGGAGAGUGGAAGUGCAGGUGUAGGAGUGAAAUCCGUAGAUAUCUGGAGGAACAUCAGUGGCGAAGGCGACUAUCUGGCACAUAACUGACGCUGAGGAGCGAAAGCGUGGGUAGCAAACAGGAUUAGAGACCCUGGUAGUC
rnacentral:rRNA from 1 species